GCGUGGAUGGUGUAACGGUUAGCAUACACCCCGUAAAGAGUGAGAUCUGAGUUCGAAUCCCGGCUGACGCA